rnacentral:rRNA from 1 species
UACGUAGGGCGCAAGCGUUAUCCGGAAUUAUUGGGCGUAAAGAGCUCGUAGGCGGUUUGUUGCGUCUGCCGUGAAAGUCCGGGGCUCAACUCCGGAUCUGCGGUGGGUACGGGCAGACUAGAGUGAUGUAGGGGAGACUGGAAUUCCUGGUGUAGCGGUGAAAUGCGCAGAUAUCAGGAGGAACACCGGUGGCGAAGGCGGGUCUCUGGGCCGUAACUGACGCUGAGGAGCGAAAGCAUGGGGAGCGAACAGG